UGCGGGCGCUGCUCGGGGCCAGGGCAGGGGUGGCCCCUUGGGAACAGGGGCAUGAGUUUGGGCACUCAGAGUGAGCCUGAGUGUAUGUGGGGUGCUGGAUUAUUUCCCCC